UAAAGGCAGCAGUGGGGAAUAUUGCACAAUGGGCGAAAGCCUGAUGCAGCUAUGCCGCGUGUAUGAAGAAGGCCUUAGGGUUGUAAAGUACUUUCAUCGGGGAGGAAAAAACAAAACUAAUAAUUUUAUUUCUUGACGUUACCCGAAAAAGAAGCACCGGCUAACUCCGUGCCAGCAGCCGCGGUAAUACGGAGGGUGCUAGCGUUAAUCAGAAUUACUGGGCGUAAAGAGCACGUAGGUGGUUUUUUUAAGUCAGAUGUGAAAUCCCUGGGCUUAACCUGGAACUGCAUUUUGAAACUGAAAUACUAGAGUAUCGUAGAGGGAGGUAGAAUUCUAGGUGUAGCGGUGAAAUGCGUAGAUAUCUGGAGGAAUACCUGUGGCGAAAGCGGCCUCCUAAACGAAUACUGACACUGAGGGUGCGAAAGCGUGGGGAGCAAACAGGGAUUAGAUACC
rnacentral:rRNA from 1 species